rnacentral:rRNA from 1 species
CCUACGGGGGGCAGCAGUGAGGAAUAUUGGGCAAUGGGCGGAAGCCUGAACCAGCCAAGUCGCGUGAGGGAAUAAGGCCCUACGGGUCGUAAACCUCUUUUGCCGGGGAGCAAGUGCGGGGACGUGUCCCGGCCCGGAGAGUACCCGGAGAAAAAGCAGCGGGCAACUCCGUGCCCGCAGCCGCGGUAAUCCGGAGGAUGCGAGGGUUAUCCGGAUUUAUUGGGUUUUAAGGGGUGGUAGGCGGGCUUUUAAGUCAGCGGUAAAAAUUCGGGGCACAACCCCGUCCGGCCGUUGAAACUUGGGGCCUUGAGUGGGCGAGAAGAAGGCGGAAUGCGUGGUGUAGCGGUGAAAUGCAUAGAUAUCACGCAGAACCCCGAUUGCGAAGGCAGCCUUCCGGCGCCCUACUGACGCUGAGGCACGAAAGUGCGGGGAUCGAACAGGAUUAGAUACCCUUGUAGUC